GAUGAAGAACGCAGCGAAAUGCGAUACGUAGUGUGAAUUGCAGAAUACCUGGAACCAUCGAAUCUUUGAACGCAACUUGCGCUCGAGGCCUCGGCCAAGAGCAUGUCUGCCUCAGCGUCGGCUUUCACCAUCCUCAACCACCUCCUCUCUCACCAGAGGGCGCGUGCGCGAAGGAGAGCUGGCCGUUCCCGCUCGCUCGCGCGAGCCGGGUCGGCUGAAGAUCAUAGAGCGUGCACGUGCGACGACCUCGCCUCGCGGCGAGGGCGCAUCAGCUGGGUAGCUGGCAUCAUGCCGGACGAAGGCUGCAUGCCUCGCGUUGCCCACGUUUGAAAGCAGGAAACCAUACCACCAACCAUUCGACCUGAGCUCAGGCAAGGACACCCGCUGAACUUAAGCAUAUCAAUAAGCGGAGGA
rnacentral:misc_RNA from 1 species